GGUACCUAUACAUCACUUCUAACAAAAGAUUUCCUUGCACCCUGGAAUAAGGCCUUGGCUCCACUCCAAUUUCAGUCCUAUCCCUUUAUGGUUAAGAGCAGCUGAUUUAUGCUUAUUUUCAUUAGAAAAUUAAAUUGCAACUUCAAAAAAGUAAUAUUUUCUAACAAUAUCAAACCAGGGAAACUAUCUAUGCUAUAUUUCUUCCUUGACCACCACUACCUUUGCUUUGCAUGUGAAUUGCAAAUAAAGUAUAAUAUUAAACUUAAGCUGCAGAUAUUGGAUGAAGAAAUGCACAUGCACCAACAGAGAUAGCAGAAAAGGAAAUAAGCACCUAUGAGAAGUGAGAGCUUAACUCACUCGUCAUCAUAUUCAGCUAAUGGCUUUACUUGAUCAGC
rnacentral:misc_RNA from 1 species